CAAAGACAUUGCUUUUUGGUUUGAAUAAUAAGUAAUUUCUGCCCACUGCAUUUUUGUUGAAGGGCUGCAGUAUUUUAACUGUAUAAAGGUAGCAUAAUCAUUAGUUUUUUAAUUGGGGACUGGUAUGAAGGGAAUACUAAGAGUAGGUUUAUUUUUUAGGGUGAUUGAAUUUUAUAUUUUUGUGAAAAAUCAAAGAUUAGCCUAAGGGACAAGAAGACCCUAUUAAGUUUAAUUAUAAUAUUAGCGGUAAAUAUAUAGGAUUAAAUAAUAUAUUAGUAUGGUUCGUGAUUAGUAGGUUAGCUGGGGCGGUAGGAUAGAAAACGUUUUUUAAGUUUAAUUUUAAUAGAACGUUAUUACGACCUGAUUGGGGUCAAGUUUAUGGGUAAUUACUUUAGGGAUAACAGCGUUAUCAUUCUUGAAAGUUCUUAUUGACAGGGUGGUUUGCGACCUCGAUGUUGGAUUAGAAUAACCAUUGGAGUAACAGUCGAUGUGAUUGUCGU
rnacentral:rRNA from 1 species